ACAAAUUGUUACCCGGUUCCAGUCCGGUCAAAGCCUGGUCUUCAACCAUGUUCGAAUCAUCAACAGAAACCAGCACCUCGGUUUUAGUCUCUAUAGGUUCACAUGCAGUUGCGGGUUGUACUUGAGGCAAUUCUGGUGGUACAUCAGCUUUAUUCUCUACUGUCACACAUGCAGUUGCGGGUUGUACUUGAGGCAACUCUGGUGGUACUUUAACCAAAGAGCUACACACCAUCCCUUCUUUAUGUGGUGCUUCAGCAGCAACGAUUCGGCGGCGCUUCUUACUGUGACGCGUGUUUAAGCCUACUUGGCCCGGUCUUAACUUGUGAACAUUAAAAUUAAAAUUAAAAUAAUAAAAAAAAAAAAACAAUAAAUGAAAGUAUGUUGCUACUUCUUGCAUUUAGCCCAAAAUAAACUGCCCAAAAUCUGAACAACUUAC
rnacentral:lncRNA from 1 species